rnacentral:lncRNA from 1 species
CUUUGUCAUUAUGGGGUAUUGUGUGUACAGGCAGCAGGACAGGCAGGUGUACAGACAGCACGUCAGGCAGGUGUACAGGCAGCAGGACAGGCAGGUGUACAGGUGCCAGGACAGGCAGGUGUACAGGCAGCAGGACAGGCAGGUGUACAGGUGCCAGGACAGGCAGGUGUACAGGCAGCAGGACAGGCAGGUGUACAGCCUCAACAACCUGUUAUAUAGACACAUCAUAAGAGCUACAGGACCUCCAUUAAAAUGGUCUUAUUACUCAGAGAAGUGACCAAGACAUUCAAAAGUAAACAUGUAUUUAUGUUUUCAUACACACACACACACACACACACACACACACACACACACACACACACACACACACACACACACACACACACACACACACACACACACACACACACACACACACACACACACAUACAUACAUACAUACAUACGACUACAAAUGACCACAAAUUUAUUACAAAUCACGUCAUUAACAUUUCAAAA